rnacentral:tRNA from 1 species
CUGAGUGUAGCUCAACCUGGUAGAGCACUCGGUUCGGGACCGAGAAACGAGGGUUCGAAUCCCUCCACUCAGA